rnacentral:rRNA from 1 species
GACGAACGCUGGCGGCGUGCUUAACACAUGCAAGUCGAACGGAAAGGCCCGGCUUUUGUGGGUUGCACGAUUGGCGAAGGGGGGAGAAAAACGUGUGUAACCUCCCCUUGACUUUGGGAUAACUUCUGGAAACUGGGGCUAAAACAGGGGAGGAGAUCUUGCUCCAUGGGGGGGGUUGGAAAGUGUCGGCGGUUGGGGAUGGAAUCGCGGGUUAUGAGCUUGUUGGUGGGGUAGUGGCUGACCAGGGUUUUGAAGGGUAGCCGGCAUGGGAGGGUGACCGGCCACAUUGGUACUGAGAUACGGACCAGACUCCUACGGGAGGCAGCAGUGGGGAAUAUUGCACAAUGGGCGGAAGCCUGAUGCAGCAACGCCGCGUGCGGGAUGAUGGGCUUCGGGUUGUAAACCGCUUUCGCCUGUGACGAAGCGUGAGUGACGGUAAUGGGUAAAGAAGCCACGGCUAACUACGUG